GAUGAACGCUGGCGGCGUGCCUAAUACAUGCAAGUCGAGCGAACUGAUUAGAAGCUUGCUUCUAUGACGUUAGCGGCGGACGGGUGAGUAACACGUGGGCAACCUGCCUGUAAGACUGGGAUAACUCCGGGAAACCGGAGCUAAUACCGGAUAACAUUUUCUCUUGCAUAAGAGAAAAUUGAAAGAUGGUUUCGGCUAUCACUUACAGAUGGGCCCGCGGUGCAUUAGCUAGUUGGUGAGGUAACGGCUCACCAAGGCAACGAUGCAUAGCCGACCUGAGAGGGUGAUCGGCCACACUGGGACUGAGACACGGCCCAG
rnacentral:rRNA from 1 species